GAUGAACGCUGGCGUCGUGCCUAAUACAUGCAAGUCGAGCGAACAGACGAGGAGCUUGCUCCUCUGACGUUAGCGGCGGACGGGUGAGUAACACGUGGAUAACCUACCUAUAAGACUGGGAUAACUUCGGGAAACCGGAGCUAAUACCGGAUAAUAUAUUGAACCGCAUGGUUCAAUAGUGAAAGACGGUUUUGCUGUCACUUAUAGAUGGAUCCGCGCCGCAUUAGCUAGUUGGUAAGGUAACGGCUUACCAAGGCAACGAUGCGUAGCCGACCUGAGAGGGUGAUCGGCCACACUGGAACUGAGACACGGUCCAGACUCCUACGGGAGGCAGCAGUAGGGAAUCUUCCGCAAUGGGCGAAAGCCUGACGGAGCAACGCCGCGUGAGUGAUGAAGGUCUUCGGAUCGUAAAACUCUGUUAUUAGGGAAGAACAAAUGUGUAAGUAACUAUGCACGUCUUGACGGUACCUAAUCAGAAAGCCACGGCUAACUACGUG
rnacentral:rRNA from 1 species